CUACGCUAUCCCACAAAUCACCGGGGGUCAAAUAACCGUAGAAGAAGACAAGCCGCCGGGAAAAUCAAAGGUGACGGGCCGACAGCGACAACUUCAACCGAUGUUUAUAAAUGCAACACUGAUCAGCUACCUGCACCCCUUUGGAUGAAGAAGGCUGCAUUUGCGAACCAAUUCUUGUGACAAGACAAGAGAGCAGAGUUAUUAAUACUUUUGGUUUACCACAUCCACAACAUGGCCAACUGGAGCACCCACAAGGAUCUCGUGAAGGAAGUCCACAAGCCCUUUUGC